UACGAAGGGUGCAAGCGUUAAUCGUAAUUACUGGGCGUAAAGCGUGCGUAGGCGGUUUGUUAAGUCUGUUGUGAAAUCCCCGGGCUCAACCUGGGAAUGGCAAUGGAUACUGGCAAGCUAGAGUGUGAUAGAGGAUGGUGGAAUUCCCGGUGUAGCGGUGAAAUGCGUAGAGAUCGGGAGGAACAUCAGUGGCGAAGGCGGCCAUCUGGAUCAACACUGACGCUGAGGCACGAAAGCGUGGGGAGCAAACAGG
rnacentral:rRNA from 1 species